UGCGUAAUGAAAUAUUGACAAUAUCUUCAGCUACAAUAUUACUGGUUUUAGAUCCUCAUUCACUCAUUUAUUAUUAAUGAGUGAGUGAAUGAGUAAGCAGGAAAAGCUGAAUCUAUAUAUACUGUAGAAGAAUAAAUGUUUUGCUUUGCUACAUUAAUGUUUACAAUACUCAGCUGAAUCUUUUUUUUCUUUUUUCAGUUGAAUCUACCUCUGGAUUUCCUUGCAUUUUUCUUAGUCAGAGUGAUCUUAGUUUUGAUUGGUUUAUUUAGUCACAUGUCUUAAGAACAAGGAAGUGAUUAUAUGUGAAGCCCUCAACGUGGGCGGAACUUUGGAAAACAGCGUGUGGAAGUUUCCUAAAGCUCUUUAUUCUCACUAUGAGUGAUCAAACCACUAUUCCUCACAAAUUAGGGGCCAUAACUAGUGUUACGCAUGUCCUGUAUUUAAAGGUGAUUCUGAAUGAAUUGGAUGGUACACUGUUUCUAAUCAUUUGACUCAACACCAGAGAGUGAUGGACCUGAUGCCUCAGAACACACAACAGAGCAGUGGCCAAACAUCCUGUCGCACGCUGGCAGGCUGCUGUGAGGGCCUCCAUUGUGUUUGUCACCAUCUGUCCGCACCUGUCAGACACGUUGUCUUGCAUUUGAAGGUCCCAGCGUCAGAUCUGUCUGAAAACAAGACAACUGGCGUCGGCGGAGGGGAAGGUGCAACAAAAACAUUUACUUGGAGAGACGGCGGCGAAUAAUUACCUGUGUGUGGCUUGAAAUGGAACCGUUGAGCGGCGCAGAGAUUAGAGCGCGUCCGCCAGUGGCCAUUAAUCAAACACAUUGGAAUUAACUUUCAAUUGACUUUCUUACCCCUCCGCAUAAAACAGAUGCCACGGCUGAAAAAUGGAGCAAGCAAGCAAUCUGUAGUUCAAACAAGGUUUGUUACACACGGUG